rnacentral:rRNA from 1 species
AUAUAAAAAAUUAUUAUUAUUUUAAAUUUAUAUUUGUAUUUUAAAAUAAAAAAAUUAAAUUUAAUUAUAUUAUUAGAAAAAAGUUAAUUUAUUAUAGAUUAUUAUUAUUGUGAAAGAAAUUUUUUUAUUUAUUAAAGAAAAAUUUAAAUUUUGUACCUUGUGUCUCAGGGUUUAUUAAAAAUUUUUUAAAAAUUUAAAAUUCUCGAAUUUAAAAGAGUUAAUAAUUUAUAAAUUUUAUUGUUUAAUAAUUAUUUAUAAUAAAUUAUUAGAAAUGAAACGUUAUUCGUUUUUAAAUAUAUCUAGUUUUUAAAGAAAAAAAUUUAAUUUUUUUAUUAAUUUUUAUGAUAUUGUUUUAUUAAUAUUAUUUUAUUAAUAGUUUAAAUUUAAGGGGAUAAGCUUUUAAAUUGAUUUUAAAAAUAUGAAAAAUUUUAAAAAUUGUAGGAUUAGAAUUUUUUAUCAAUUAGAGAAUGUUAUAGUUAAUUAUAAUUUAUUGAUUAUUUAUAUUAAACAUAUUUUAAGUUUAUAUUUAAAAAUUAAUUUAAAUUUUUUAAAUUAAGUUAUUAUGAUAAAAUUAGUAUAAAUUUAUUUAUAUUUAAUUUUGAAAUUUAAGGUUAAAUAAAGGAAUUCGGCAAAUAAUUUUUCACCUGUUUAUUAAAAACAUGGCUUAUUGAAAAUAAUUUUAAGUCUAACCUGCCCACUGAGAGUUUAAAUGGCCGCGGUAUCUUGACCGUGCAAAGGUAGCAUAAUCAUUAGUUUUUUAAUUGAAAGCUGGAAUGAAAGGUUGAAUGAAAAAAUAACUGUCUCUAUUUAAUUUUAUUAGAAUUUUAUUUUUAAGUGAAAAAGCUUAAAUAAUAUUUAAAGACGAGAAGACCCUAUAGAGUUUAAUAUUUUAUAAAUUUAUAUUUUUAUAGAAUUUAGAUUUUAUAAAUUUUUGAAUAUUUAAUUGGGGUGAUUAUAAAAUUAAAAAAACUUUUAUUUUUAAAAAUCAUUAAUUUAUGAAUAAUUGAUCCAUUUUUUAUGAUUAUAAGAAUAAAUUACCUUAGGGAUAACAGCGUAAUUUUUUUUGAGAGUUCAUAUCGAAAAAAAAGAUUGCGACCUCGAUGUUGGAUUAAAGAUAAUUUAUGGUGUAGAAGCUAUAAAUUUUAAGUCUGUUCGACUUUUAAAACUUUACAUGAUCUGAGUUUAAACCGGUGUGAGCCAGGUUGGUUUCUAUCUUAAAUAAUUUUUUAUUUUUUAGUACGAAAGGACCAAAAAUAUGAUAAAUUAUUUUUAUUUUGAAUAUUAU